AGGCCGUUAGCCAGAGCCCGGGUUUCGCUGGUACCUGAGGUCGCAGUGGGCUGGCUUGGGGCUGGAGGCAGGCCACGACACCCCGCCCGGCUGCGGCGGGUUAGGGCCUACUGGGGCCCUCCUUUGGCCCCGGGCGGCGCUCUCCAGUUGCCUAACUGAAAGACCUCCCAGAACCAGACAGGCUUGUCUAGCAGGAAGUCGCCUUGAUUAACCUCCACCCCACUCUUGCCCAGACUGAUGGGAGUGUGCGCGCUCUUUCGGCUGUGUAAGAUGCACGGGGAGGAUCAAAUGAAGUAACUUCUGUGAAAACCUUCAGUGGGCAGCAUCUAAGUUUCCCUCAUUCAAAUGAAGAUAGUAAAGCCAGUCAUACCCAGUCCUGCCUGCACAGCAAAUGAUGCAAUGUUUGUAAAACUGCUUUGACAGGAAUAAAGUGUGUUUUUGCAGACCGUUA